UACGUAGGGUGCGAGCGUUGUCCGGAAUUACUGGGCGUAAAGGGUUCGUAGGUGGCCAACUAAGCCAGACGUGAAAUCCCUCAGCUUAACUGGGGAACUGCGUCUGGGACUGGAUGGCUUGAGUGCAGGAGAGGAACGCGGAAUUCCAGGUGUAGCGGUGAAAUGCGUAGAUAUCUGGAGGAACACCGGUGGCGAAGGCGGCGUUCUGGACUGCAACUGACACUGAGGAACGAAAGCCAGGGGAGCAAACGGG
rnacentral:rRNA from 1 species